AUUGAACGCUGGCGGCAGGCCUAACACAUGCAAGUCGAACGAGUGGCGGACGGGUGAGUAAUGUCUGGGAAACUGCCUGAUGGAGGGGGAUAAAUACUGGAAACGGUAGCUAAUACCGCAUACCAUCAGAUGUGCCCAGAUGGGAUUAGCUUGUGGGUGGGGUAACGGCUCACCAAGGCGACGAUCCCUAGCUGGUCUGAGAGGAUGACCAGCCACACUGGAACUGAGACUCGGUCCAGACUCCUACGGGAGGCACCAGUGGGGAAUAGUGCACAAUGGGCGCAAGCCUGAUGCAGCCAUGCCGCGUGUAUGAAGAAGGCCUUCGGGUUGUAAAGCACUUUCAGCGGGGAGGCGUUACCCGCAGAAGAAGCACCGGCUAACUCCGUGCCAGCCGCCGCGGUAAUUC
rnacentral:rRNA from 1 species